rnacentral:rRNA from 1 species
AACGAACGCUGGCGGCGUGCUUAACACAUGCAAGUCGAACGCGAAAGGGACUUCGGUCCUGAGUAAAGUGGCACACGGGUGAGUAACGCGUAGAUAACCUGUCUUCAUGUCUGGAAUAAUACGCCGAAAGGGGUACUAAUACCGGAUAUUCUUGCUUUUCAUAAGUUAUGCAAGCAAAGGUGGCCUCUGCAUAUGCUACUGCAUGAAGAGGGGUCUGCGUACCAUUAGCUAGUAGGUGGGGUAAUGGCCUACCUAGGCGACGAUGGUUAGCGGGUCUGAGAGGAUGAUCCGCCACACUGGCACUGGAACACGGGCCAGACUCCUACGGGAGGCAGCAGUGAGGAAUAUUGCGCAAUGGGGGAAACCCUGACGCAGCGACGCCGCGUGAGUGAGGAAGGCCUUCGGGUCGUAAAGCUCUGUCAAGAGGAAAGAAGUGUACAAUGGCUAAUACCUGUUGUAUUUGACGGUACCUCUAAAGGAAGCACCGGCUAACUCCGUGCCAGCCGCCGC